rnacentral:misc_RNA from 1 species
CACAAGCUGCACAACCAUCAUCUACAUCAAGAGACAUGCGGAGGGAAGAGAAGCUGGGUGCUGAUGUACCUCUGUGCGGCAGUCUUACCUUACACCCCUCACAAAACCGUUUCUCGUCUCUCAGGUUGCCAGGCUGGCGAAUUCCUUCUGCAGGCGGCAGACCAACAGAAAAGGUUCGCGGAACUUUUUCGUUGGUGGUCGUUUAGGAAAGGAUUCGAUCCCAAGUAUUCACCAUCGCAACCAAGACUGGUGUUACAGGUGUAGCAGAUGUACGAACAGGAGCAGUAAGAGGACUGUACACCUCCCUCAUUAACCUCUCCCCACCGCCUGGCCAGAGAAGAGAUGAAUGUCAGAUGUUUUGGGGGUGAUGUCAUGUCUCGAGACGGGGGCCUCCUUGCUGUUGUCAUCGGCUUCAGCAUCCUCUUACUGCCACCUUCGUUCUGCGAUAUUGAGGUCCGGACCAUUAUUAGCAACAGCUCUGACAGUGACCAGGUGGAGUGCAUCAUACCGGUAGCCGAAGACAGAGUGCAACUAAACCUCAGCUGCAAAGUAGACGUCUCGGGUGAGCAAGUGGAGAUACUCCACUCACCUGGGAAUAACGAGUCCACUGAGUUCCACCUUGUUGGACAGUGUGUCGCAAAUGUCUGCACAAGUGCGGCGCCAAAUGUGUAUAAUGUCACGUACAAGACUGGCUUUGGCCUUGAAAUGACUACUGUUCAUUCGGUUGAGCGACACACCGUGGGAGGAGUGUGGAUGUGCCGGGUGCGAAACCCCGUCAGCAGCGAAAAUGAUUUCUACAAAAUCGCCAAGUGCCGGAUCGAAGUCAUACAUGUUCCCCAACCCUCAGACAUCGUCUGCGAUGUUAAGCUCCGAACUACUGACUGGGUGGUGGAAGGGUGGUGCACUGUAGCUAAAAUCUAUUCCUUCUAUAAAAUGUACAACUGUAGCUGGCAUAGAACCAACGGUGCGGAGUGGCUCAUACCCUCAGAAAAUAUAAGCUUUUCUAUGAAAUCGUACAUCGAUCCUCAGAAUAAGAGGGAAUACAAUUCAGGCAAUUGCAGCUUCAAACACUCGCUUACGCCUUUCGUCGAUGCGUCCUACAAAUACCACGCCAUCAUCCAGCCGGGCGAGGUCCUCGCUGAAGCCCAGACAUUGAAAAUAGAGGCUCCGUCACUCCCUGUCGUCAGGUGCAAGGCAGGUGAGGGACUCAACUGCACGUGCGAAACAUCCAACAUCGGGGAGCCGAAGGGCACACUCUUGUGGAAAGCAGGCCUGGAUGUCCUGGCGAGGGGCGAGCCGGGCCAGUCCUUUCUACGACUGGGCUUGCAGGACCUCAGCAUCUUUGAAUCUGACGAAACCGAGGUCACGUGCGAGCUUUUGUGGGCGAAAAGCUUCGUGACUCGUCACAGAAUCGUACCCGACGGCAAGCCAUACAUCCGCAGCUUCACUAUGAAUGGACUGAGUGGAGAGCUGGUGACCACAGAAAAAUCGUUCGUUACUUUUGAGUGUUCUGUCUCGGGCAAGCCGGCCCCACGGGUACGAAUUCUCAAGGGCGCCUACCCCUACCCGACGUCUGGCCAAACCGAACUUGAUGCUCUUCAAAAAAAUACAGCGGUCAUCUUCACCUUGUCGGACGUGUCGUGUACAGACUCCAGCAUCUACACCUGCGUGGCCAGAAACGACGAAGGAUUCGAAUACAUCCGAUACGCGCGACUGCGCGUGGAAUGUGCCCCCCACCUAAUUACUCAGACGAGCAAGUCAACAUUCAGAGAACCCCUGCAGCUUUUGUACAACCCCCCUAAAGGGCACAGUCUGCGGCUGAACCUCCUGGCCUACCCCUUCCUCAGCGGCUGGGAACUGUCCCUGGCAGGCCAGAAAAAGGCCACGAGAAACAGCGACCGUCUGAACGUGUCUUGCCUACAUGCAGAUAAAGACAACAACAACAAAUUGGUCUGUUUUAUCACCGCCAGAGGAAUAAAGCAGGAGGACACGGGCAUGCACGUGCUGCGGCUGUCCAACUCACGCGGGGUUCUGGACGUGCCGUUCCUGGUGAAGAUCCGACGACCCGAGACUAUCGCAGGGCGAACCAUGACAGCAGCUUUCAUUGUCAUGACAUGUCUAUUGACUGCCAUCGCUUUCGCCAUAAUAGCCAUCGUCCUCCAGACUAAGCGUCUGUCGCAAGGGGGAUCACCGAAUACAAAUGGGCCAAUAUACAAGGGAAAUCUGAAUCCAGACCUACGGACCGCUCAGCCCAGCAGGGAAAAUCCAACCUGUCAAGCUGUGUGUUAAGUAUGCCAAUGAGACCACCAAGGAGAAAAUGUUUGCACAAAAGGAAGUUGGGGAAAACAAUGUGAGUAGCGCUUCCCAGGACACUCGGGGUGUUGCCAGCGGCAGGCGAGUUGAAGGAACAGUUACAUUAACGGUACCCAGGGGUACAAACCUGAGUUACAUGCAUGAAAACUCUCAAGGUACCGCAGGACAGGUGACAAAACAGCAGAACAACCCGAAUUUCAUGCACGUGCAGCAGAAUAUUCUGUGCGAACCUCAUGAGGAUGUCACGGGUGACGGCAAAGCAAAAAAGUUAUUGUUUAAGUCCAACAAUGUCACCAUGACUGUCUCCAUGGAAACCAGCAAACAUAUACCUUCCAAAACAUCGAGCCCAGCGCAACAGUCUCUGCAAAGUGCCAAAUCCUCUACAUAUGAGUCCAUGGUGCUGCUUGACGAGAAGGCAGGUACAGAAAAGUCGCAGGUGUUACCUGAGAAACUCGAGUCUCGGCAAUCUAGACAGGACUCAAGUUCUUUUAGCUGGACUAAGGAAAGUCCCAAGCAAUCUAUUUUGUCUAAUUUGUAUAGGCAAGAAGAGCAGAAAGCCGAAAAAGCAGGAAGAAAUGUUCAGGAGAGGUCAGUGCAAGAACAGAAGUUCAGUCAGGUUUCUGAAAAAGUCUACGAGGCUGGCUCCAGCCUUCGAAACAACAACAGAUCAGCGCGCAGGUCAACUGUCACACGAACCCUCCGGUCCAGUACUUCUGAUGUCAUCAACUCGCAGAAGUCAACUCCAGAUUCCUCCACCACGCGGUUGCCUGACUCCAGGAGUGAUAGUCCCCGCAGUCUAAAUGUCAGAGUCAGGACAGCAUCUGUUUGGACCCGGUGUACGUGCGACAACCAGAGGAACUACGUAUCCUAGCAAUAACGAACAGUGCUCGCAGUCACUCAGACAGCACUCAGAGUCCUAAGGACAAUCUUCGCCAAGAUGUGGACGGCAGUGUUUUGUCAGGUGCCUCCAGCUCCAGCAGUUGCCGUUCUCUUGGAGAUCGCGAGCUCAUGGGCAGCACCACUUCCAAUGUCACACCAGGCGGCGUUUCCCAUGAUGCCAGUGCAGAAGUGCCACAAGGGUGCUUUGCUUCCAAGACAAUGGGAUCAACAGCAGAAGGCAAGGAUCAGAGUUGUGCAAGUGUCCCCAUCGCCUUCCCUAAAAAGCCACCAGAGGACGUAGGGACGACGCAAGGUGUUGCUGAGGCAGAGAGUCUCUCCCGACUUCUUGCACGGGAUGAACAAACACAAAGAUGGAUGUCGAACCAGCAAAAGUCUUUUUCUCGCAAGGCAGCCAAAAUACCACACUUUGUCGAACUCAAGCAACCAGGAGUUAGCUGGUAGGGAGGUCUUCCCAAGAGUUGCCAAAUUUGUCUCCGUCACGCCUGACAUGGUCAAGAAGAAUCCAUUACAUAAGGACUUGAUGAACGAAUUCAGACUUACAGUCAGAAACAAAAAUCUCGGGCAGACAAGUCUCGACCAAUUCGCUGUCAGUCCAAAUCAACCACAAUGACAGAAAAACUGUGACUACUAAAAAGGCUAGCUCACAGAGAAAUGCUUACCAGGAGCAAGGAGAACAGUUCGUGGGCGCUCGGUCAGUAGACACCAAAGGGGAUCCACAUUUUCUUGAGCAUGAUACUUCAGGGGCUGAGGCCUCAGAGGCAAGCUCGCAGAUGUCUUCAGCUGAAAACAAAGAAUUUUUUAAACAAAAAAGACAGCGGAGAUGGCUUAAGAAAUCAAAUGAAGAGAGUACAUACGAGUUAACAUCUUGUCAUUGGAGAGAGAGUCUCGCGUCUAGACCGACGAUGGGAAACUAUUUAAAUUCAGAAAACCCUCAUACUUCUGAAAUCUCCGACCCAAAAGACAGGACCCGAAGCAAAGUCAAGGAUCUGCUGAAAGGGUUGCAAAGGAUAACUAAAGGCUACGCAUCUUUAUCUAAAAGUAGAAAGUCUUUCUACAAAGUCGAGCUCGUUCCUCAAAAUAAAGCUGAAUACUCUGAGAACACAACAAAACAUAGGGCUUCUAAAAUACUGAAACUGUCUCCUGCAUUUGAUGAGUACCCGAAUCCAAUCGCAGAUGAUGGUCAAAGCCCGAGGACGUUAUCACCUGUUUAUGGUAACACCUCAGAACCGAUAGAGCAGGUGCGACCAAUCAAGAAUUUCAGAGGCCACGUUGUGUUUGAAGAUGUGUGCCACUUAGUUAUGCGCCGCUUUUAGUACACUGGUGUGUGUGUGUGUGUGUGUGUGUGUGUCCGUGUCCGUGUGUGUGUGUCCCUGUCCGUGUGUCCAUGUGCGUGCGAACUCAUUGUGUGGAAUAGUUAUUAUACACGUGCGUUUGCUUGUGGGUAUGAUUCUGGAUUUAUUUUUACGCGAGCACCGGAAUUCAUAUUCAUCAAAAUAAUUCUCUAGAAAUAGUUCCACACUGUUACAACCCAAAAGUAUUAGUUUUAAAAGAUGCUGUCAUUAUGUCAAAAUACACUCAUAUGCAGACAAGAAGUUGAAACGUGUUGUAGUAUCAGGAGAAAUUGCUUCUUUUUAAAACCACUGAACAAUAAAGUAAUGAACUCGAUAA